AGUGAACGCUGGCGGUAGGCCUAACACAUGCAAGUCGAACGGCAGCACAGGAGAGCUUGCUCUCUGGGUGGCGAGUGGCGGACGGGUGAGGAAUACAUCGGAAUCUACUCUGUCGUGGGGGAUAACGUAGGGAAACUUACGCUAAUACCGCAUACGACCUACGGGUGAAAGCAGGGGACCUUCGGGCCUUGCGCGAUUGAAUGAGCCGAUGUCGGAUUAGCUAGUUGGCGGGGUAAAGGCCCACCAAGGCGACGAUCCGUAACUGGUCUGAGAGGAUGAUCAGCCACACUGGAACUGAGACACGGUCCAGACUCCUACGGGAGGCAGCAGUGGGGAAUAUUGGACAAUGGGCGCAAGCCUGAUCCAGCCAUACCGCGUGGGUGAAGAAGGCCUUCGGGUUGUAAAGCCCUUUUGUUGGGAAAGAAAUCCAGCCGGCUAAUACCUGGUUGGGGUGACGGUACCCAAAGAAUAAGCACCGGCUAACUUCGUGCCAGCCGCCGCGGUAA
rnacentral:rRNA from 1 species